CAAAAUUUUCGAUCGAUAUUGUGUUGUGCACUACGAUAAAGCAAUAUUGACCUCACUAAUCAAAAUCAAUGGGGGAAGUGGAUAGCUAGCUAUAUGAGUACUCAUUUGAUCUGGAUCUCAACUGAUAAGCCAAAGAGUGAUAAUUUUGAGUGUUUAAUUUGUUAGCAUUGGUUGUCAUUUCAAUUUCUAAGUUUCUUAAGAG
rnacentral:misc_RNA from 1 species